rnacentral:rRNA from 1 species
GACGAACGCUGGCGGCGUGCUUAACACAUGCAAGUCGAACGGAAAGGCCCUGCUUUUGUGGGGUGCUCGAGUGGCGAACGGGUGAGUAACCCGUGAGUAACCUGCCCUUGACUUUGGGAUAACUUCAGGCAACUGGGGAUAAUACCGGCUAGGAGCUCCUGCUGCAUGGUGGGGGUUGGAAAGUUUCGGAGGUUGGGGAUGGACUCGCGGCUUAUCAGCUUGUUGGUGGGGUAGUGGCUUACCAAGGCUUUGACGGGUAGCCGGCCUGAGAGGGUGACCGGCCACAUUGGGACUGAGAUACGGCCCAGACUCCUACGGGAGGCAGCAGUGGGGAAUAUUGCACAAUGGGCGGAAGCCUGAUGCAGCAACGCCGCGUGCGGGAUGACGGCCUUCGUGUUGUAAACCGCUUUCGCCUGUGACGAAGCGGGAGUGACGGUAAUGGGUAAAGAAGCACCGGCUAACUACGUG